rnacentral:lncRNA from 1 species
UUGAAAACGGGUAGCGAGUGUUAUAGCCAUGAUAAGAUUUGGCUCAACCUGCUCGGCUGAGGUUCAGCCCCCUGGCCGGGGGACCCCCCCCUGCAGAGUGAGGGGUGACCCAGGGGCAGCUGCACAGGGGGAGCCGGGGUGGAGGAGGGGGGCAGAAGGCCAAUGGGAGGAGGGGAGGAGGUUGGGGUAUGUUAUUAAUAUUAUACUGUCACUUAGGUAAGAACAUCAGAAAUGAUUACAGCUGCUGUCACUUCUGCUGGACCUUUGCUGUGAACUCCAGCACGGGGGAUUACCUUACAGACACACCGGAGGAAGGCCAGAUCCCCAGCUCACACACCUCUGCUCACCUGUGUAGAUGCGCUGAGCCCAGGGCGAGCGGCACGCCGGCGCUCCACAGUGCUGGCAUGGUAGCGGGGAACACAGACUGCGCAGCACAGCCAUCUCCCUCCAGAUGUUCUGUUUAUUUGAAAAGAAGACGGAGAGAAGGCGAGGCCGACCACAAGACAGGGAAGCUUCUCAGAAUUCCACACCGCUGAGCCAAAUGGUGAACCAAUAUGACAGGAACAUAAAUACAUCUUAUCCUGCCUCUCUCUGCAGCCAAAGUCUGUUUUGCAUUUGUCAGAUGUUGUUGCUGUUGAUGGGGUCCUCAUGGAAACCUCUUAUUAUUCUCUUAAAAGAAAUUUCUCCUGAUUUCUGUCUGCUGGCCCGCUCCAGAAUUUCCACAUUUCAUCUUGUGUUGGGGGUUUCGGAAAGAUGAAGUGUGUGUUUCCAGCAAGCCACUGACAACCGAAGUACACAGUGUCAAAGCACAACUAUCGGAUUCCAGAGUAAUGGAGACCACUUUGACCAGCUUCCUAAAUUAAGCGUAUAAAUAUAAUCAAAAUAUUUUAAAACGGACAUGAGAUUUUUCUUGUAUCAAUGGAAGCUGUAUUU